rnacentral:lncRNA from 1 species
UUGUAUUUACCUCCCCGGUGUAUUGAAUUAUCCUAUGGGUUUUAAAUGCUUUCCUGCACCCACCUGGACGUCAAAUGAUUGCCAUCAGAAAGAGACAACCUGAAGAAACCAACAAUGACUAUGAAACAGCUGACGGCGGCUACAUGACUCUGAACCCCAGGGCACCUACUGACGAUGAUAAAAACAUCUACCUGACUCUUCCUCCCAACGACCAUGUCAACAGGCUGUAUUGAUUGGGGUGUAGACUGAACUAUCCGGGGUCUGUUUCUUUUCGGUGAUGAAAGUCUUGAGAAGGUAGUAAUGGAUAAGAUGUGAAGGAGAGGAGAGAUGGAGAUUUGGAGUGUAGGCGGAAAUCCGAACGCCAGAAGAUCUGAAUGGAAUGUUCUGGAUUGAAGAAAGUGGGAAAUGGCCUCAAUUCACAAAGUCACAGCCUGAUAGAAACCAGUGUGACUUUACUGCCCAGUGAACCCAUCUCGUCCUCCAGCCUUUAGGAGGUAGGUUGGACUGGAGCCUGCAGUAGUUUACUCUCCACCUGAGUCCUG